GGGUUGUGAGGUUAAGCGACUAAGCGUACACGGUGGAUGCCCUGGCAGUCAGAGGCGAUGAAGGACGUGCUAAUCUGCGAUAAGCGUCGGUAAGGUGAUAUGAACCGUUAUAACCGGCGAUUUCCGAAUGGGGAAACCCAGUGUGUUUCGACACACUAUCAUUAACUGAAUCCAUAGGUUAAUGAGGCGAACCGGGGGAACUGAAACAUCUAAGUACCCCGAGGAAAAGAAAUCAACCGAGAUUCCCCCAGUAGCGGCGAGCGAACGGGGAGCAGCCCAGAGCCUGAAUCAGUGUGUGUGUUAGUGGAAGCGUCUGGAAAGGCGUGCGAUACAGGGUGACAGCCCCGUACACAAAAAUGCACAUAUUGUGAGCUCGAUGAGUAGGGCGGGACACGUGGUAUCCUGUCUGAAUAUGGGGGGACCAUCCUCCAAGGCUAAAUACUCCUGACUGACCGAUAGUGAACCAGUACCGUGAGGGAAAGGCGAAAAGAACCCCGGCGAGGGGAGUGAAAAAGAACCUGAAACCGUGUACGUACAAGCAGUGGGAGCCUCUUUUAUGGGGUGACUGCGUACCUUUUGUAUAAUGGGUCAGCGACUUAUAUUCUGUAGCAAGGUUAACCGAAUAGGGGAGCCGAAGGGAAACCGAGUCUUAACUGGGCGUUAAGUUGCAGGGUAUAGACCCGAAACCCGGUGAUCUAGCCAUGGGCAGGUUGAAGGUUGGGUAACACUAACUGGAGGACCGAACCGACUAAUGUUGAAAAAUUAGCGGAUGACUUGUGGCUGGGGGUGAAAGGCCAAUCAAACCGGGAGAUAGCUGGUUCUCCCCGAAAGCUAUUUAGGUAGCGCCUCGUGAAUUCAUCUCCGGGGGUAGAGCACUGUUUCGGCAAGGGGGUCAUCCCGACUUACCAACCCGAUGCAAACUGCGAAUACCGGAGAAUGUUAUCACGGGAGACACACGGCGGGUGCUAACGUCCGUCGUGAAGAGGGAAACAACCCAGACCGCCAGCUAAGGUCCCAAAGUCAUGGUUAAGUGGGAAACGAUGUGGGAAGGCCCAGACAGCCAGGAUGUUGGCUUAGAAGCAGCCAUCAUUUAAAGAAAGCGUAAUAGCUCACUGGUCGAGUCGGCCUGCGCGGAAGAUGUAACGGGGCUAAACCAUGCACCGAAGCUGCGGCAGCGACGCUUAUGCGUUGUUGGGUAGGGGAGCGUUCUGUAAGCCUGUGAAGGUGUGCUGUGAGGCAUGCUGGAGGUAUCAGAAGUGCGAAUGCUGACAUAAGUAACGAUAAAGCGGGUGAAAAGCCCGCUCGCCGGAAGACCAAGGGUUCCUGUCCAACGUUAAUCGGGGCAGGGUGAGUCGACCCCUAAGGCGAGGCCGAAAGGCGUAGUCGAUGGGAAACAGGUUAAUAUUCCUGUACUUGGUGUUACUGCGAAGGGGGGACGGAGAAGGCUAUGUUGGCCGGGCGACGGUUGUCCCGGUUUAAGCGUGUAGGCUGGUUUUCCAGGCAAAUCCGGAAAAUCAAGGCUGAGGCGUGAUGACGAGGCACUACGGUGCUGAAGCAACAAAUGCCCUGCUUCCAGGAAAAGCCUCUAAGCAUCAGGUAACAUCAAAUCGUACCCCAAACCGACACAGGUGGUCAGGUAGAGAAUACCAAGGCGCUUGAGAGAACUCGGGUGAAGGAACUAGGCAAAAUGGUGCCGUAACUUCGGGAGAAGGCACGCUGAUAUGUAGGUGAAGUCCCUUGCGGAUGGAGCUGAAAUCAGUCGAAGAUACCAGCUGGCUGCAACUGUUUAUUAAAAACACAGCACUGUGCAAACACGAAAGUGGACGUAUACGGUGUGACGCCUGCCCGGUGCCGGAAGGUUAAUUGAUGGGGUCAGCGCAAGCGAAGCUCUUGAUCGAAGCCCCGGUAAACGGCGGCCGUAACUAUAACGGUCCUAAGGUAGCGAAAUUCCUUGUCGGGUAAGUUCCGACCUGCACGAAUGGCGUAAUGAUGGCCAGGCUGUCUCCACCCGAGACUCAGUGAAAUUGAACUCGCUGUGAAGAUGCAGUGUACCCGCGGCAAGACGGAAAGACCCCGUGAACCUUUACUAUAGCUUGACACUGAACAUUGAGCCUUGAUGUGUAGGAUAGGUGGGAGGCUUUGAAGUGUGGACGCCAGUCUGCAUGGAGCCGACCUUGAAAUACCACCCUUUAAUGUUUGAUGUUCUAACGUUGACCCGUAAUCCGGGUUGCGGACAGUGUCUGGUGGGUAGUUUGACUGGGGCGGUCUCCUCCUAAAGAGUAACGGAGGAGCACGAAGGUUGGCUAAUCCUGGUCGGACAUCAGGAGGUUAGUGCAAUGGCAUAAGCCAGCUUGACUGCGAGCGUGACGGCGCGAGCAGGUGCGAAAGCAGGUCAUAGUGAUCCGGUGGUUCUGAAUGGAAGGGCCAUCGCUCAACGGAUAAAAGGUACUCCGGGGAUAACAGGCUGAUACCGCCCAAGAGUUCAUAUCGACGGCGGUGUUUGGCACCUCGAUGUCGGCUCAUCACAUCCUGGGGCUGAAGUAGGUCCCAAGGGUAUGGCUGUUCGCCAUUUAAAGUGGUACGCGAGCUGGGUUUAGAACGUCGUGAGACAGUUCGGUCCCUAUCUGCCGUGGGCGCUGGAGAACUGAGGGGGGCUGCUCCUAGUACGAGAGGACCGGAGUGGACGCAUCACUGGUGUUCGGGUUGUCAUGCCAAUGGCACUGCCCGGUAGCUAAAUGCGGAAGAGAUAAGUGCUGAAAGCAUCUAAGCACGAAACUUGCCCCGAGAUGAGUUCUCCCUGACCCUUUAAGGGUCCUGAAGGAACGUUGAAGACGACGACGUUGAUAGGCCGGGUGUGUAAGCGCAGCGAUGCGUUGAGCUAACCGGUACUAAUGAACCGUGAGGCUUAACCUUACAACGCCGAAG
rnacentral:rRNA from 1 species